GAUGAACGCUAGCGAUAGGCCUAACACAUGCAAGUCGAGGGGCAGCAUAGAGUAGCAAUACUUUGAUGGCGACCGGCGCACGGGUGAGUAACACGUAUGCAACCUACCUACAUCAGGGGAAUAACCCGGAGAAAUUCGGACUAAUACCGCAUAAUACAGGGAUGCCGCAUGGCAAUAUUUGUUAAAGAUUUAUCGGAUGUAGAUGGGCAUGCGUUCCAUUAGCUUGUUGGUGAGGUAACGGCUCACCAAGGCAACGAUGGAUAGGGGAACUGAGAGGUUUGGCCCCCACACUGGAACUGAGACACGGACCAGACUCCUACGGGAGGUAGCAGUGAGGAAUAUUGGUCAAUGGACGAGAGUCUGAACCAGCCAAAUCGCGUGAAGGAAGACUGCCCUACGGGUUGUAAACUUCUUUUGUACAGGAAUAAAAGACAUUACGUGUAAUGUAUUGCAUGUACUGUACGAAUAAGCAUCGGCUAACUCCGUGCCAGCCGCCGCCGUAA
rnacentral:rRNA from 1 species